CAGUUGGUUAGAGCGCGCGCUUGAUAAGCGUGAGGUCGGAGGUUCAAGUCCUCCCAGGCCCACCACUUCCUUUCGACACGAAGGUUAUCAGGGGCCGUAGCUCAGCUGGGAGAGCGCCUGCUUUGCAAGCAGGAUGUCGUCGGUUCGAUCCCGUCCGGCUCCACCAUUCUUUUGUCCCUGUGGGGCGAAGAGGUGUCGAGCGGAGGUAGGAGAGAAAGUCAUUCGUAUAAAGAUUUGUGGUGGGCAUCUAGCUCGCCGCUUGUUCUGUUUGACAUUGUAAAGAGAAGAUUUGUUCGAACUUCAUGGAUCGCAAGGUUCAUGAUUUGUCGCGGGAGACGCUCAAUCUCCCGCAUAUGAUGGGUUUGCCUAACCGCGCCCUCGAACCGAUCUCGAGAAGCUGGUCUUUUUGUGCCAAUGACAUCGAAUUGGAUCCCGCACAGGAUCUGGUUCAGGUGCAAUCCUUUGGAUUGCGCGGACGCUGAACUUGCAAGGGUUUGGCUGAAGCGGCAAUCCCUUUGGGAUUGCGCGGGUGAGCAUUGGCAAUGAGAACGAUCAAGUGUCUUAAGGGCAAUUGGUGGAUGCCUUGGCAUGCACAGGCGAUGAAGGACGUGAUACGCUGCGAUAAGCUACGU
rnacentral:tRNA from 1 species